AGUUGGAGAUCUCUUCUGGCUCCUCUUCCUCCUUUGCCUUCAGGACUUCGCUGAAAAACCUGAAGAUGGAUUCAAAACUCAUCCAGGAGGUCAGCUCAUGCCUCUCAGUGCCUGCAGUACAGAAACAAAGACACACACAAUCAAUGCAGCAGUGCUCGCUUGUUCACCCUGAACUGGCGGUGAACUCCCCUGGCACGCCGCCAUCCUCUCUGCCCUAUCCCCACCGCGUUCGAGGGUCACUAUGGGGGUGUCUCUUUGCUAAUAUGCAGAUGAGCUGCUGCCCCCCCAAUGACUCGGAUGUUAAGCUCCACCUCCCUGUUAAAGGUGGAGGCUUUGAGUUUCAGCCUUCUACCUUCGACAAGACUCUCACACAGACAUAAACUGUCUCCUGUAUGGAUUUUACCAAAUUGCAUUCAAUCUUACUUUCAAAGCUUAAGGACAAAAUACACAAUGCGCAUGCUGACAUAGAAAGACAAUUACAAAGCAAUCCUUCUACAGCACAGUUCAAUGAGGUAUCAACGGACCAUAACUUUUAUAAAAUUUCAGAUGGGAACUGGACAGGAGAGGCACUAAACGCACGUUUGUCUCCUCGAUGGCAAGCAGACAUAACUCUUCAAACUGGAUCCAAGAGUGUCAUACGAUCAUGCGAUCAUAUGCACAAAGUUAAGUCUACAGAAGAAAACUGUGUUCCAGAGAGUUUCCAGCAGAGACCCUGUCUCUACAACGCCGAAUGCAGCGGUUUUCCCGGCCUGAAGGAAGGACAACGGGACCGCAUCACCGCGGCCACAGACGUUACAUGCAGUACGGCUGGGCCGAACAAGCCGCCCCAUCCCACAGCAAGGGAAGUUAGCUAAGCUACACCUGGCCUGACACUGUAUCUACCUGACACCUUCCUGAAGGGGGGCAUCACCCAAGCUUCUGCUGCCAACAGCUUAAUAGUCACCUUCUACUGAUGAUACAUUUGGUCCUGUCCUUCAGUGUUUAACCCUAUUUUUUCUCCUAGACUUAGCUACUGACUGAGCUUUUACUGUGACUGACCGUAUGUGUUCUCUCUCUCAUACUCUAAACUUAAAAACUGGCCAUUAAAAGAGUUACAUCCAUUAACAUUUAUUUUUCCUUCACCAUACAAAGUACUCCUGGAUCAGUGCUUCUGUGUUCUUUUUCUGUCUCUGCUCUAUUCUCUCAAACCCCCAGUCGGUCGUGGCAGAUGGCCACU